rnacentral:rRNA from 1 species
UACGUAGGGUGCAAGCGUUGCCCGGAUUUAUUGGGCGUAAAGGGCGCGUAGGCGGUCACGCACGUCCGUUGUGAAAUCGCUCGGCUCAACCGGGUGAGGCCAUUGGAAACGGUCGAGCUGGAGGGCAGUAGAGGUAGGCGGAAUUCCGGGUGGAGUGGUGAAAUGCGUAGAUAUCCGGAGGAACACCAGUGGCGAAAGCGGCCACCUGGACUGCACCUGACGCUGACACGCGAAAGCUAGGGGAGCGAACGGG